UUUUCAGUCCUCUGCUCUACCAGCUGAN
rnacentral:tRNA from 1 species